GCAAGGGCUCCCUCAAGGAUGCCUCUUUGCCCUUCUCAAGGGCACUCUUUCUUUUUGUAUGCAGCGACUGACAGACUUACUGAUCUCUUUGUAAUCACAAAUAUUGACUCCCAUUAUUUAUUCAGAGUUUAUUUCAUUGCUAGCUUUGACACUUGACACAGAGUUAUAUCUUGCAGAUGGUGAAAUAAAUACUCAUUCUUUGAGGUAACUGGAUAUCAAAGGGAAGUAGAAGUCCUCGGAAUGUCCAGAGAGGGGUCUUGAUGCAUUGCCCUGGCUGGAGUGCAGUGGUGUGAUCAUAGCUCACUACAACCUGGAACUCCUGGACUCAAGUGAUCUUCCCACCUCAGCUUCCUGAGUAGCUAGGAUUACAGGUGUGCACCACCAUGUGGCAGGCUAAUUUUUUUAUUGUAGAGAUGGGGUCUUGCUAUAUUGCUCAUGCUGGUCUCAAACUCCUGGCCUCAGGCCAUCCUCUCACCCAAGCUUCCCAAAGUGUGGGGAUUACAGGUGUUAGCCACUGCACCCAGCCUGGAUUAUUAUUAUUAUUAUUUUAAAGAGUAAGAAAGAGAGAGACAUAUUGUUGGACUUUCCUUAUAUGCUUUUUGUUAUCUUCUAAAUUUUCUUCUGGAUCCAUUCCUCCUACAUUCUGAAACAAAUUGCCUUAUAGGCACAAAUAGCUAUUGGGGACUGUGGUCCAGCAUCCUAUAAUGGAACUGCUCCUUAAAAUGAUUGUAUUUGGCUGCUCAACAUUUGCCAGCCACUGCCUUAAAUCACAGAACAGAUCAAUGUCUGUUGUAUUUUUUUGACUUGGCUUUCUACUCCAGUCAACAGAAAUAAUUCAUUCUUUGAGAGACAAAGAGAGAGAUUCAAACUAAAGUCAGAUAAGAUAUUGCUACUUAACAGAGUGCAUUCCAUGUUGGCACAUAGACAGCUUUUCCCUCAUGCGGCCUUACUUGUACACCAACUAUUAGAAAUAGCUAGAAAAAUUAAAAUAAUUAUAUGAAUUCUCUUCUAACAGCCAGAAUUAUUGCUGCAGAAAUUUGUCAACCUGGAAGAAGGGUAAUAUCAUAGUCUGCCCUGCUGCAUCUGAUAUAGAUAGUUCCUUUUAUUUGUCUAAUAUCUUGAUUUUUUAUAUUUCUGAAUGUGUAGAAUUUUUUUUUCAAAUAUGCUCUGCCACUUUUCAUAGUUUCUAGUUCUC
rnacentral:lncRNA from 10 species